CACCGCCCGCCCGGCUUCACCUCGCCCCUGCGGUGAAAGUCCGCCCGGCGCUCCCCCACACCCUCACAUGAUCCAAAAGAAAACUGCCCGACUGAUCGCCCGCCGGCACUCCCUUGCUCUCCCGCAUGACCCGAUCGCCCCCGCUCCCCUCAGUCGCCGUAGCUGGGCGCGCCCACGCCGCCGCUCGUCCACGACGCCCAGCACAUCCACCGCUUCGUCUCCCCAUGACGACAGCUGCCCCCACCACUUCACCUCUCUGUGCUGGAUACAUCGACGUCGGCGCCCCGAUCUGGCAUGGAGGCGCUCCAAUCCGGCUGGAAUAGGGCGGAUUCGAUGGGUACAGCUCCCUUCGAUUCACCCGGGACAGAGACAGGGCCCAGACAUGGUGCGGCACCGGCGGCGGGAUCUGGCGAAGCCUUUGUGUGCCCGGUGCAUGCAGAUUGCAGCCAAGAAGAUCUACUGAGGCACCCGUCAGACCCGGGGAUGGACAUGCCGGCGACCGCGAGCAUGAAGAUCGUCGAUGGUCUAGAAAAGGCAUAAAAGCUCAAUGAUAUUGUUCCUAGCUGUUUAGCAGGUCUGAACACUCGUUGCCUACUAAGAGCGUUGGUUGGCUUCAUCACCCACCCUAUGAUCAUGCUAAGUGUUGAGGCUCAUGAAUAUUGCCCGAUUGCAAGGCCGAAAUGGAAAUUAUGUGCCUUGAGAAACAUCGGGCAAGAAACUGCCUUACAUGAUGCAGACUUAAAUUCCUACCACCAUAUUAAGAGGAAAAGUAGAAGAACAGAGAGGUACAUGGACAAAGAUGCUUGUUUAUGCAGCAAUGUCGACUAAUUUAGGAAGCAAUUUGCUCGUCUUGAAGAAAAUGGUGCAAAAGACCCUGGGAUUGCUGUGGAGCAUGCAGAGUUUCUUCAGCAUUGAAAUCGUUCGGUACCUGUAACCCAGCGCCAGCGCCAGGAGCGAGGAUGCAAUGUGCUCUGACAUUUCUUCUAGGGUCUUAUUUGAUCUAGCUGUUUCUUUCAUUGGAACAACUACCGUGUGGGAAUUCUAAAGGUAACCUACUGAACUAAGCCAAGGCAGUAGAUCACUGAACCGCUGUUUUCAAUACAGUUAAGCCAAUUAUUAGUUUGUCUAUCAUUUCAUAUUUGACAAGGACAGGACCUGGUAAUCCCCAUCCUCUCUUGAUCCUUUUUGUGACCAAGGGUCGAAUUAUUUGGGUACGAAUACAUCUGUCUCGUGGAAGGUUAGAAUGACAGCAUGCUUUACUAAUUUCUCACAGGGUUGCUCCACAACAGAACUGCUAACGGUUGUAUGUACUGAUUGGGUAGUUGAAGACCAGGGCUUGUGCUUUCCUUCACAGUGAGUGUUUGUGUUUGUUAAGAUCUUCUCGAAUCUGAAUUCAUUGCUUUGCAAACCUACCUGUUGUCAGUCUUGCAGCAGCUCUGAACCUGCAUGCUACCACUACUGGUUUUCACCAAAUAAAUGAAAAUGUGCACCUCAGAAAUAGAAACAUCAAACUAGAAUUACCGUACUAUUUUUCCCUGUACAAAUCAAGAGAUCCAGCUCAGGAGGAAAUGUACAGGCACGAUCCUAGAGGAACACACUGACAUACUUGAUAAGCAACUUUGUACUGAUUGCCAUAGGAAAAGACUUUCUCUUACCAUAUGUUCAGACGACCUACCUGCUUUUUUGUACUGAUUUUUUUUAAAAGAAUUGAUUUAUUGCACGCACGGGCAGUUAAGGCGUUACAUGAUUAGUAGAUGAUAUUAGGACCUAAAACAUUUGAGAUGUAAGCUAGACUUCGUUCAGUUCAUCUUGCCUGCUGCUAAUUUCAGCAAUGAAUGCGGUCAGAUACUGUGCUUGUUUCAGACCUGUGCAUAAGAAGACUUGUGAUGACCAUACGGUGAGACAAUGAGAUUGAUCCAUGGUAUGUUUAUUCUGCAGGUGUUCACAUGCCUGAUCCUGGCAGCAUGUGCGGCGGCAAUAGAUUUGCUGUAUUGCUUACAAUUGUGAUAAGGUUAUAUGAAGUGAGGCGUGUGGUGUUUUGGGGAGCUUCUGCCUUCAGGCAUGCACCCGUGUAUAGUGUUUAUUUGGUUUGCCAUUUAACCUUGUGCAAAUUUACAUGAGAAUAUAUAUAUGCAAAAUGGCGUUUCUCCAAACUUCAAAAAUUUUAAAA